CAGUCGCCGCGGUAAUACGAAGGGUGCAAGCGUUACUCGGAAUUACUGGGCGUAAAGCGUGCGUAGGUGGUGGUUUAAGUCCGUUGUGAAAGCCCUGGGCUCAACCUGGGAAUUGCAGUGGAUACUGGGUCACUAGAGUGUGGUAGAGGAUAGUGGAAUUUCCGGUGUAGCAGUGAAAUGCGUAGAGAUCGGGAGGAACAUCAGUGGCGAAGGCGGCCAUCUGGGACAACACUGACGCUGAGGCACGAAAGCGUGAGGAGCAAACAGGAUUAGAUACCCCCGUAGUCCCUGUCUCUUAUAC
rnacentral:rRNA from 1 species